rnacentral:rRNA from 1 species
CCCUUAGAUGUUCUGGGCCGCACACGCGCUACACUGAAGGAGGCAGCGUGUACUCCUGGAUCGAAAGAUUUGGGUAACCCGCGAAUCUCCUUCGUGCUAGGGAUUGAGGUUUGCAAUUAUCCUUCAUGAACGAGGAAUUCCCAGUAAGUGCAAGUCAUAAGCUUGCGCUGACUACGUCCCUGCCCUUUGUACACACCGCCCGUCGCUACUACCGAUUGAAUGAUUUAAUGAGGACUUCGGACUGGGACCGAUGCGGCUUUCGGGCUGCGUCGGUAUUCUGGAAAGAUGUCCAAACUGUAUCAUUUAGAGGAAGUAAAAGUCGUAACA